CUUACAAAUAGAAAAAAAAAUAUCAACUAAUUAUACAUUAUAUUAGUACAAAAAACAUAGCUAAGUUAUAUCAUAAUGUUAUCGUUUUUUUUUUUUUCAAAUUUAACAAUUUUUUUUUAGUAAAAUAUAAUAUUUUCUACACCAAACAAUAUCGAAACCAUCCUUUUCGCCGACAGACCGGAUUUAUUCACCGACGACCAUAUUUUCUUAAAAAAAAGUGUGAUGAUCCUAGGGAUGGGUUUAGCCACCGUUGUAGGUGGGAAUUUAGGAUUUAGGAAGGUAUGACACAUAAAGUUAUUUAAUUUAAAUUUGUACUCAUCGGUAAACCUGGAAACAGGUAAUGGUAACGGGUAAUGGAAGACAGAACAGUCCACUUUUGGUGGAAACAGGUACUACACUUUAUUUUUUUGAAGUCUUCACACAACCUCGUACAUGUUUAUUUGGUCUAUUUUCAAAACGUCGUAUUAGUAAUUAACCAUUUACUAUUAUAGGUUUCCUUGUAUAUAUUUUUUUUUGCCCUUUAAUAAAUAAAGGUACACGCGAUGUUUUAUUCACCUCAUAUAAUUUAUAUGCAUAUAAAAAUGAAUACGUGUGUG